ensembl:lncRNA
UUACGCAAGUACUAGUUUAUUGCAGCACUCUUUCCUCAAGACAUGACUCAUACAAGUGUACCCACGUUACAGAAUCUCUUGGAUGUUGACAAACGCAAACAGCUAUUCUGUACAAUUCCAUGUUCUAAGACACUGUUUACAGGCACAGCACCCACAUAUUCCAUACAUUUUAUGGCAUGGUUAACAUUAACACAUAUGUCAGACUAACAAGACAAUGGUCAAAAAGCAUCCACAUCCAAUAAAUGACAUUACAUUCACACUAACAUUAUGUACUGCAGCCCACCUCAGCAGCAGAGCAGAUCUCAGCCCACCUGAAGUAAAUGCAAGUCUCAGACUGGCCAGGAAGGAGCGCAAAUGGCCUCCGCUGGCCCCGGGCGUUGGUUACGGGCAAGGCAAAGCUAAAGCCAAUUUGGCUGAGAUCAAUUGAUUGCAAAGCUAAAGCCAAUUUGGAUGAGAUCAAUUGACUGCACCUGCCAAAAUCAGUGCAACUCUCAGAAUGGCCACAAAGGGGCGCGAGUCUCAGACUGGCCGGGAAGGAGCGCAAAUGGCCUCCGCUGGCCCCGGGUGUUGGUUACGGGGUUGGGUUAGCCCUGCGGUACAAACAAACAAAGCAAAGCUAACCCAACCCCGUAAGCAAGGCAAAGCUAAAGCCAAUUUGGAUGAGAUCAAUUGACUGCACCUGCCAAAAUCAGCGCAUCUCUCAGAAUGGCCACAAAGGGGCGCGAGUCUCAG